UGAUAGUAUCAAGCAGACAUCCGAUCUACACUAAGCGUAGGUGUACAGAAGAUCUCAUCAACGCAACGGAAAAGGAAUGAAGUGCUUAUUAUUGUCGGCUGAAAACGAGGCGCACACAAUAUGAUGCGUUUCAUUUUGAGUGUUUACGGUACAGUAUCAAUUUCGUCAUCGCUGUUAGUUCAGCAACCCGGAAGUAAUUGUGGGUCUUGUGAAUGGCCAAAUGUCUGUAUUAGUUUUGUCUCUUCGUUUCCGUAAAUAGCGUUUUCAGCCAAACAAAGAAGCAACUUUGUCUCCGAAGAUAUCGGGCGAAGCGAGUAUACAUUGACCAGGAAAAAUGUCAAAUUGCCUAGCUUUUCAUACACAGAUAGCCUCCAUUAUGGAGGUUUUGGCGAAUGCGGCCGUGGCAGAGAUCUGCCAAGUUGUGGACGAUGGAUACGCGGUUCUGCGCCUGGAAAUGUCCCAAUAUCAGAAGGAGAACAAGGCUCUGAAGCGCAAGCUGCAGGUGAUCGAGCGGCAGACCGCGCGCCGAUGCGCAGAGAGGGGAGGGUCGCGAGCGAGCUUUGUAGACGGGGCGCAAGUUUGCCGUAAAUUAAGAGAAACACCGAGGGCGCUUCCAGCGAAGGGGCAGUUCCCAGCUGUAGAGAGAGCCUUGGAUAACCGGAUAGAUGUCAGUCUAAAAAGAGACGAGCAGCACAUUGUUCUGGAUGAAGAGGAUGCUCCGGCGGUGUCCACGGGCAGGAGCGACGGGGUCACCUCGCAUCAAAAUGCCUCGAGCACAGCGUGUGCAGUUAUGGAGGAGGGAAGGACUGAAGCACUUCUGAUAAAGGAGGAGAGACUCAAAGAGAAUCUGGGGAACCCCGACUGUCCAAGGGAGCUGAGGAACAGGGACGAGAGGGCGGUGGAAUCGGAGGCUCGGAGCAAGGGAAGCCCCCCCUCUGCAGAAUCACGGACCGCCUCGGCAAAACAAGAGCAGCUCCCUGAACAGCUGGCCGAAGACAAGCGCAGCGUUUGGGAGGUGAGCGCGCUCGGGUCCGGCCCGGAGGCAGACGCGGAGCGAGAAAGAGCAAAGAGCCAUCAGCACCCGGGGCCUGGAUCCAGAGCACGAAAGCCGAGCAGCCUGGACUCUGAGUUUGUCAUGUUCGAAAGACCAGGCCAGCUGGGCUCUUACUGUACACAAGGGGGCGCUGUCGCGGAGACGGAGGAUCCGUGUUGCUCUUACUCUACAGGAACGGGACAGGGCCUGUCCUAUCACGCAGAGAUGAGGCCCUUUUUGGGUACAGAGGAGGGUGGAGGGAACGGCCUGUCCCCUUUGGGGUCUCUGGACUGGAAGCCGGACAUCAUGGUGGUCGACCCGACGCCAGUCAAGCUGGAGCCCGAGGUGCCGUCUGCGUGGAACGCGGGGCCCGUUUUGGGACUGGGCGACGCGCCACCACGGCCUUUCGAAGAAAUUGGGGAGAGGGGAGAGAUGCUGCCGGACAGCGCGCCCAACCUCUGCCUUCCGCCCGUCCUAACGACGGCGGGGGAGAAGGCCGCGGCGUCCAAGUACAUCUCUACGGAAACCGAGACGCACCGCAGAGCCGGCGCCGGGGAGAAACGCCUGUUCUACUCGUACUUCGAGAGAGGAUUCGCGCGCGCGAGAGACAGCGAGGCGCUCCCGGGCGUCGACCCGGAGGAGAGACAGUUCAGCUGCACACAGUGCGGAAAGCAUUUCGCUCAUUCGGCUAACCUGAAGAGACACCAGCGCGUGCACACGGGGGAGAAACCGUACAGCUGCACGCAGUGCGAGAAGCGCUUCUCCCACCAGCACCAACUUAAAAUGCACCAGAGGGUCCACACGGGAGAGAGGCCCUUCAACUGCACCCACUGCGGAAAGAGAUUCACUCAGUCCAGUCACAUUAAACGACAUCUGCUCGUUCACACUGGAGAGAUGAUGUAGAUGCGCUUGUAUUUGCAGAAGGUGAUUUUCUGAGUUCUGUAAUCUUGCGGGACGCCAGAGUUUUCCCACGACAAAGUACAAAGAAUGAGUGUUUUUAUUCUUCAGGUGAUCUUCAUAGAAAUGACUGUUCGUUCCGGAGAAAGCCAAAGCCAUUUACUUGCACUAUGAAGGAACUGUGUUUUAUUUGGGCGGCGCAUAUGCCCAGUUUUGUGUAGUCUCUUGAGGAGUGGGCUUACACGCAUUUAUAAUGCCGUUUUAUCAGCGUUAUCCCUGAGCACACAUGAUAACUCGGACUGUGUUUCGCAGAAACCCUGUUGAGAGCUCGUGAGGCAUUUGUAUUGUGGGAAAUUUUAUAUUUUAUAUUUACAGGCUGGAGUAUGAAGCAGAAAAGGAUUUUGGUGUGGUUAUACGUUUCUGUCUGAGGUGCCUGAUUAAAAAAAAGUCGGAUAGCACCCCAAGUGGGCAAAGUCUCUUGGACACAGGCCUUUUAAGCGACGGAGAGCCCACAGCUGAAGACCAGGACGUAUUGAUUGGGAACUCG